rnacentral:ncRNA from 1 species
CUUAUCCAGAGUGGUGGAGGGACUGGGCCCGAUGAAACCCGGCAACCGGACGGCAACGUGCAGGUGCCAAUUCCCACAGCGGUCUUCCGCUGAAAGAUGAGG